rnacentral:rRNA from 1 species
AUACGGAGGAUCCAAGCGUUAUCCGGAUUUAUUGGGUUUAAAGGGUGCGCAGGCGGCCUUAUAAGUCAGUGGUGAAAUCUCCCGGCUCAACCGGGAAACUGCCAUUGAUACUGUAAGGCUAGAAUACAGACGAGGUAGGCGGAAUGUAGCAUGUAGCGGUGAAAUGCUUAGAUAUGCUACAGAACACCGAUCGCGAAGGCAGCUUACCAGACUGUAAUUGACGCUAAGGCACGAAAGCGUGGGGAGUGAACAGGAUUAGAAACCCUUGUAGUCC